rnacentral:lncRNA from 1 species
AUUCUCAUCCAGGAUGAUGCAGUUUGACAAUUUCCAUGGAGGUGAUUGAUGAUGAUAAAUAAUUGGUGAAGUAGGCCUAAUAGAACAGUGACUGGACCACAAAGAGAAAUACAAACUACAGCAGUUAUAGGAGACUGGUGUAACAGAUGUUUUCAUUCAAGAAAUCCAACAA